rnacentral:rRNA from 1 species
UACGUAGGGUGCAAGCGUUAAUCGGAAUUACUGGGCGUAAAGCGUGCGCAGGCGGUUCUAUAAGCCAGAUGUGAAAUCCCCGGGCUCAACCUGGGAACUGCAUUUGUGACUGUAGAGCUGGAGUACGGUAGAGGGGGAUGGAAUUCCGCGUGUAGCAGUGAAAUGCGUAGAUAUGCGGAGGAACACCGAUGGCGAAGGCAAUCCCCUGGACCUGUACUGACGCUCAUGCACGAAAGCUAGGGGAGCAAACAGG